CUCAAUAAAUGUUUGUUGAAUUGAGAUGCGCUAAAUUCAACGGGUAUUUAUUGAGCA
rnacentral:pre_miRNA from 1 species